rnacentral:rRNA from 1 species
UACGGGGGGGGCAAGCGUUGUUCGGAAUUACUGGGCGUAAAGGGCUCGUAGGCGGCCAACUAAGUCAGACGUGAAAUCCCCAGGCUUAACCUGGGAACUGCGUCUGAUACUGGAUGGCUUGAAUUCGGGAGAGGGAUGCAGAAUUCCACGCGUAGCAGUGAAAUGCGUAGAGAUGUGGAGGAACACCGAUGGCGAAGGCAGCCUCCUGGGCCAGCACUGACGCUCAUGCACGAAAGCGUGGGAGCAACAGG